rnacentral:rRNA from 1 species
AUUGAACGCUGGCGGCAUGCCUUACACAUGCAAGUCGAGCGGGGUGAUGGUGCUUGCACUAUCACUUAGCGGCGGACGGGUGAGUAAUGCUUAGGAAUCUGCCUAUUAGUGGGGGACAACAUCUCGAAAGGGAUGCUAAUACCGCAUACGUCCUACGGGAGAAAGCAGGGGAUCACUUGUGACCUUGCGCUAAUAGAUGAGCCUAAGUCGGAUUAGCUGGUUGGUGGGGUAAAGGCCUACCAAGGCGACGAUCUGUAGCGGGUCUGAGAGGAUGAUCCGCCACACUGGGACUGAGACACGGCCCAGACUCCUACGGGAGGCAGCAGUGGGGAAUAUUGGACAAUGGGGGGAACCCUGAUCCAGCCAUGCCGCGUGUGUGAAGAAGGCCUUAUGGUUGUAAAGCACUUUAAGCGAGGAGGAGGCUCUUUUGGUUAAUACCCAAGAUGAGUGGACGUUACUCGCAGAAUAAGCACCGGCUAACUCUGUGCCAGCCGCCGCAGUAACAC